rnacentral:sRNA from 1 species
UUUAACUCAAAAAAAAACACAAUGUUUACUCUACGAAGCAACAGUAAAUAAUAGAACUCGAUCAUCUAUAGAGUUUUGGAACUGGUUAUAGUCCACAUAUUAAUAUGCGCAUCUACAUUUUGAUGCUCGUUCAACAGGUCAACUAAGAAUGAACCAUUGACUGCUCACUUUGCUAGUUGAAACUAAGACCUUCACCUAUGCCCCAAGCAAAAUGGGGGGACGGCACCCAGACGAGCGAGACGAUAUGUCUGAUCGUGGCGACAGCAGUGUUGACCUUGGCCUACAUUCUGUUAGCGCAGCACAUCAUUCAGGCUGAUACUUAGUAGCCACAAGUAUUCAACAAUGUCAAUUUUGAAUAAAGACUGGUCUCUUUCCCAAUCUCAGAGCCAAACUACUUGCAUUUAUGAGCCACAAACUGCUUGGGAACCACAUCAUGCCAACCUCUUCUGAAUGGCUAAAUAUCUUUAAAAU